AUUGAACGCUGGCGGCAUGCUUUACACAUGCAAGUCGAACGGUAACAGGCCUUCGGGUGCUGACGAGUGGCGAACGGGUGAGUAAUGCAUCGGAACGUGCCCAAUCGUGGGGGAUAACGUAGCGAAAGUUACGCUAAUACCGCAUAAGCCCUGAGGGGGAAAGUGGGGGACCGCAAGGCCUCACGCGAAUGGAGCGGCCGAUGUCAGAUUAGCUAGUUGGUGGGGUAAAGGCCCACCAAGGCGACGAUCUGUAGCGGGUCUGAGAGGAUGAUCCGCCACACUGGGACUGAGACACGGCCCAGACUCCUACGGGAGGCAGCAGUGGGGAAUUUUGGACAAUGGGCGCAAGCCUGAUCCAGCCAUGCCGCGUGCGGGACGAAGGCCUCGGUUGUAACGACUUCAGCCGAAGAAAUACGCCGUUUUAUACUAGACGUGGAUGA
rnacentral:rRNA from 1 species